GACGAACGCUGGCGGCGUGCCUAAUACAUGCAAGUAGAACGCUGAAGGCGGAGCUUGCUUCUCUGGAUGAGUUGCGUACUUGUUAGUAACGCGUAGGUAACCUACCUGGUAGCGGGGUAUAACUAUUGGAAACGAUAGCUAAUACCACAUAAGGUUAGAUGUCGCAUGACAUUUUCUUAACAUGUGCAAUUCCAUCACUACCAGAUGGACCUGCGUUUUAUUAGCUAGUUGGUGAGGUAACUGCUCACCAAGGCAACGAUACAUAGCCGACCUGAGAGGGUGAUCGGCGAAACUGGAACUGAGACACGGACCAGCAUACUGCGGGAGGGAGCAGUAGGGAAUCUUCGGCAAUGGACGGAAGUCUGACCGAGCAACGCCGCGUGAGUGAAGAAGGUUUUCGGAUCGUAAAGCUGUGUUGUAAGAGAAGAACGAGUGUGAGAGUGGAAAGUUCACACUGUGACGGUAUCUUACCAGAAAGGGACGGCUAACUACGUG
rnacentral:rRNA from 1 species